rnacentral:rRNA from 1 species
UACGGAGGGUGCAAGCGUUAUCCGGAUUCACUGGGUUUAAAGGGUGCGUAGGCGGACAGGUAAGUCAGUGGUGAAAUCUCUGGGCUUAACUCAGAAACUGCCGUUGAUACUAUUUGUCUUGAAUAUUCUGGAGGUAAGCGGAAUAUGUCAUGUAGCGGUGAAAUGCUUAGAUAUGACAUAGAACACCGAUAGCGAAGGCAGCUUACUACAGAAUGAUUGACGCUGAGGCACGAAAGCGUGGGGAGCAAACAGG